UACGAAGGGGGCUAGCGUUGCUCGGAAUCACUGGGCGUAAAGCGCACGUAGGCGGCUUUUUAAGUCAGGGGUGAAAUCCUGGAGCUCAACUCCAGAACUGCCUUUGAUACUGAGAAGCUUGAGUCCGGGAGAGGUGAGUGGAACUGCGAGUGUAGAGGUGAAAUGCGUAGAUAUCGGGAGGAAUACCUAUGGCGAAGGCAGGUUACUGGGCCAUUACUGACGCUGAGCUGCGAAAGCUAGGGGAGCAAACAGG
rnacentral:rRNA from 1 species